ACAACAACAGUCGGACCGUCGGUCUACCGAACAAUAUCACCCGCUCGGUGGAAGAUCUUUCCUUUCGUCGUUUAAG
rnacentral:pre_miRNA from 1 species